ensembl:lncRNA
AGAGAAAACUGCUUUCCGACAGCUUAGAGAAAAGAGGUGCUUGCACUGUUGUUUCCUGAAAAGUGACUCAUCAUUUCUUUUUUGUCCUGCCCACACCUUUUGUUCAGUGGUUGCCACAUAAAAAAUAAACCAUCCCCACCAUGUUCCACUAAGCUUUUGUCCCUUUAAUGUGUAUCUGCAGAGCCUACUUAGCAUUCACAAACUAAUACCAGUUUGUUCAUUCAUACCUGUAGUGCAUAUGAUUUUAUGUGCAGUGUGUGUAUUAAUUAACAGCUACAGAGGCAUUUCUGAGCAUGAAAAUCGGCUCUGUCACCCUGUACUAAAUAUUUCAGUUGUGUUUCAUGCCUUUCACAGUAACAAUAUGACCAUGACAGCGGUGUCGCGGGGAGUGGGGAAUCUUGGUAGAGCUUUGUACUGCAGCACAAAACAUUGCUUGAAAUGAUGAAUGUGUGACCAAUUUAAAAAGUCUUUGGUUCAGGCAGGGAUUCAAAUCUACAGAUCAAAGCUCGCAUUUCUGCAGGAACGGUGGGACUAGAACUAUCUUACAGACUUUCUUGCCAUUCGGGGACUUUCUUUGAUUGCACGGGUUAUUGAAGCUGAGUCAGGUUCCAAAUACAUGUAUGCAUGUACAUUUAGGUUCAGGAAAAAAAAAUACAAAUAUCACUUCUGUUGUCUGAAGAGAGCUGCAGGUAUGCUUUUAACUACAGUGGAGCAUUCUGUGCAGCCGUGCAGUCUAAGAGCUGCCCUCAUUCUGUGGCAGAUGUUGGUGAGGUUGCAGCUCUGCUUUUUCUCAUUUGUAAGUGCUGGGUGCCAUGCAAGGCAGUAAGUAUUUUUCCAAGUCAUAAAAGGGCUGGAGGUUUUUGCUUGUUACUUACGACUUAUUUUUUAGGAACCUACAUUUGUCUACAUAGCUACAAAUGAAGUUGGAAAUUAGCUGAGAAAAGCUAGCUGCACAUUAUAUCUUUCCUCCUUGGAAAUUCUGCUCAAUGGUUUUGUGACUUCUUUGCAGCAGUCCUGCAGCAAAGAGGAAGCAGC